GCGCGGUUAGUAUAGCGGUCAGUACUCUCACGUUUCCCAAACGAGUGACCCGGGUUCGACUCCCGGACUGCCGCA
rnacentral:tRNA from 1 species